UGUGUGUGAGGUGGAGUGUGUGAGGCGGUGUGUGUGAGGCGGUGUGUGUGAGGUGGAGUGUGUGAGGUGGAGUGCGUGAGGCGGUGUGCGUGAGGCGGUGUGUGUGAGGCGGUGUGCGUGAGGCGAUGUGUGUGAGGCGGUGUGUGUGAGGUGGAGUGUGUGAGGUGGAGUGUGUGAGGCGGUGUGUGUGAGGUGGAGUGUGUGAGGUGGAGUGUGUGAGGCGGUGUGUGUGAGGUGGAGUGUGUGAGGCGGUGUGUGUGAGGCGGUGUGCGUGAGGUGGUGUGUGUGAGGUGGUGUGUGUGAGG